AUUGAACGCUGGCGGCAUGCUUUACACAUGCAAGUCGAACGGUAACAGGGAGCUUGCUCCGCUGACGAGUGGCGAACGGGUGAGUAAUGCAUCGGAACGUACCGUGUAAUGGGGGGAUAACGUAGCGAAAGUUACGCUAAUACCGCAUACGCCCUGAGGGGGAAAGUGGGGGACCGCAAGGCCUCACGUUAUACGAGCGGCCGAUGUCGGAUUAGCUAGUUGGUGGGGUAAAGGCCUACCAAGGCGACGAUCCGUAGCGGGUCUGAGAGGAUGAUCCGCCACACUGGGACUGAGACACGGCCCAGACUCCUACGGAGGCAGCAGUGGGGGAUAUUGGACAAUGGGCGAAAGCCUGAUCCAGCAAUGCCGCGUGAGUGAUGAAGGCCCUAGGGUUGUAAAGCUCUUUUACCCGGGAUGAUAAUGACAGUACCGGGAGAAUAAGCUCCGGCUAACUCCGUGCCAGCAGCCGCGGUAAU
rnacentral:rRNA from 1 species